AUUGAACGCUGGCGGCAUGCUUUACACAUGCAAGUCGAACGGCAGCGCGGUCUUCUUCCUGGCGGCUCGUGGCGCACGGGUGUGUAAUGCAUCGGAACGUGCCCCGUUUUUGUUUCUAGCCCGGCGAAAGCCGGAUUACUACCGCAUACUACCUGCUGUUGUUCGCGGGGGACCGAAAGUCCUCUCGCUAUUUUAUCUGCCGAGGUCGGAUGAGCUAGUUGGUGGGGUAAAGUCUUACCAAGGCGACGAUCCGUAGAUGGUCUGAGAGGACGACCAGCCACACUGGAACUGAGACACGGCCCAGAGACCUACGGGAGGGAGCAGAGGGGAAUUGUGGACAAUGGGGGCAAACCUGAUACAGCGAGGCGGCGUGCGGGAAGAAGGCCUUCGGGUUGUAAAGCGCGUUUGUGGGGGAAGAAAAGCUCUGGGCUAAUACCCCGGGGGGAUGACGGUAACGGAAGAAUAAGCACCGGCUAACUACGUG
rnacentral:rRNA from 1 species